GUGUUCCUGGCUCAGUGGUAGAGCAUUGCGUUAGCAGCGCAGAAGGUCGUGGGUUCAAUUCCCAGGGAACACA